rnacentral:rRNA from 1 species
CGCGAAUGGCUCAUUACAACAGCUAUAAUUCACUUGAUCUUGACACAAUCCUACUUGGAUUACUGUGGUAAUUCUAGAGCUAAUACAUGCAUUAAAGCUCUGGCCUCACGGGAAGAGUGCAUUUAUUAGAACAAAACCAAGCGGCUUCGGCUGUUUUCGGUUGACUCAUAGUAACUGAGCUGAUCGCAUGGUCUUGCACCGGCGACGUGUCUUUCAAGUAUCUGCCGUAUCAACUUUCGAUGGUAGUGUAUCUGACUACCAUGGUGAUCACGCGUAACGGAGAAUAAGGGUUCGACUCCGGAGAGUUCGCCUGAGAAAUCGCGAACACAUCUAAGGAAGGCAGCAGGCGCGAAAAUUACCCACUCUCAGCACGAGGAGGUAGUGACGAAAAAUAACGAGACCGUUCUCUUAUGAGGCCGGUCAUCGGAAUGGGUACAAUUUAAACCCUUUAACGAGUAUCUAUGAGAGGGCAAGUCUGGUGCCAGCAGCCGCGGUAAUUCCAGCU